rnacentral:rRNA from 1 species
GAUGAACGCUGGCGGCGUGCUUAACACAUGCAAGUCGAACGGAAAGGCUCCUGCUUGCAGGGGUACUCGAGUGGCGAACGGGUGAGUAACACGUGGGUGAUCUGCCCAGCACUUCGGGAUAAGCCUGGGAAACUGGGUCUAAUACCGGAUAGGACGAUGGUUUGGAUGCCAUUGUGGACAGUUUUUUCGGUGUGGGAUGAGCUCGCGGCCUAUCAGCUUGUUGGUGGGGUAAUGGCCUACCAAGGCGUCGACGGGUAGCCGGCCUGAGAGGGUGUACGGCCACAUUGGGACUGAGAUACGGCCCAGACUCCUACGGGAGGCAGCAGUGGGGAAUAUUGCACAAUGGGCGCAAGCCUGAUGCAGCGACGCCGCGUGGGGGAUGACGGCCUUCGGGUUGUAAACUCCUUUCGCUAGGGACGAAGCGCAAGUGACGGUACCUGGAGAAGAAGCACCGGCUAACUACGUG